rnacentral:rRNA from 2 species
ACGGGGGCAGCAGUGGGGAAUAUUGCACAAUGGGGGAAACCCUGAUGCAGCGACGCCGCGUGAGUGAAGAAGUAUUUCGGUAUGUAAAGCUCUAUCAGCAGGGAAGAAAAUGACGGUACCUGACUAAGAAGCCCCGGCUAACUACGUGCCAGCAGCCGCGGUAAUACGUAGGGGGCAAGCGUUAUCCGGAUUUACUGGGUGUAAAGGGAGCGUAGACGGCGAUGCAAGUCUGAUGUGAAAGCCCGGGGCUCAACCCCGGCACUGCAUUGGAAACUGUGUUGCUAGAGUGCAGGAGAGGUAAGUGGAAUUCCUAGUGUAGCGGUGAAAUGCGUAGAUAUUAGGAGGAACACCAGUGGCGAAGGCGGCUUACUGGACUGUAACUGACGUUGAGGCUCGAAAGCGUGGGGAGCAAACAGGAUUAGAUACCCUGGUA